UGCAGUCGAACGGUAACAGGAAUGAGCUUGCUCUUUUGCUGACGAGUGGCGCACGGGUGCGUAACGCGUAUACAAUCUGCCUUCAAGCGGGGGAUAGCCCAUGGAAACGUGGAUUAAUACCCCAUGGUAUUAUGAUUUCACCUGGAAUUAUAAUUAAACAUUUAUGGCUUGAAGAUGAGUAUGCGUCCUAUUAGCUAGAUGGAGUGGUAACGGCACCCCAUGGCGACGAUAGGUAGGGGUCCUGAGAGGGAGAUCCCCCACACUGGUACUGAGACACGGACCAGACUCCUACGGGAGGCAGCAGUGAGGAAUAUUGGACAAUGGAGGCAACUCUGAUCCAGCCAUGCCGCGUGCAGGAAGACUGCCCUAUGGGUUGUAAACUGCUUUUAUACAGGAAGAAACCUUCUCACGUGUGGGGAGCUGACGGUACUGUAUGAAUAAGGAUCGGCUAACUCCGUGCCAGCAGCCGCGGUAAUACGGAGGAUCCAAGCGUUAUCCGGAAUCAUUGGGUUUAAAGGGUCCGUAGGCGGGUUUAUAAGUCAGUGGUGAAAGUCUGUCGCUUAACGAUAGAAUUGCCAUUGAUACUGUAGAUCUUGAAUUAUUAUGAAGUGGUUGGAAUGAGUAGUGUAGCGGUGAAAUGCAUAGAUAUUACUCAGAACACCUAUUGCGAAGGCAGAUCACUAAUAAUAUAUUGACGCUGAUGGACGAAAGCGUAGGUAGCGAACAGGAUUAGAUACCCUGGUAGUCUACGCCGUAAACGAUGGUCACUAGCUGUCCGGCCUAAUUGAGGGCUGGGUGGCCAAGCGAAAGUGAUAAGUGACCCACCUGGGGAGUACGUUCGCAAGAAUGAAACUCAAAGGA
rnacentral:rRNA from 1 species